rnacentral:rRNA from 1 species
UACGUAGGGGGCAAGCGUUGUCCGGAUUUACUGGGCGUAAAGAGCGCGCAGGCGGUCGUUUCAAGUCGAGUGUGAAAGCCCCCGGCUCAACUGGGGAGGGUCAUUCGAUACUGAUCGACUCGAAGGCAGGAGAGGGUAGUGGAAUUCCCGGUGUAGUGGUGAAAUGCGUAGAUAUCGGGAGGAACACCAGUGGCGAAGGCGACUACCUGGCCUGUUCUUGACGCUGAGGCGCGAAAGCUAGGGGAGCAAACGG